rnacentral:rRNA from 1 species
AUGUUGUGGAGGGAAGUUCUUGUGCCAGAUUUCUCGACACAUGUUCUUGCAGGGGAGAAAGUCCUGCAUAUCAAGGCUGUUCAGUGUCAGCUUGCAAACACGGUGCACGAUAUCACGGCUUGUAGGACGUUUUUUGUCCUUGUUAUUCUUGAUCAAGGUUGGGCUGCAUAUAUGUGGGACAUGCUGAGGAAGGAGAUUCAUGUCCUUGAUCCUAUGUGCCGCGAAGUUGAAGGUGCGGAGCAACGCCAUAUGAUGCAUCAGGAGGCAGUAUCGCAGAUUCACAAUGUAUUGUUCUGCUACUUGAAUGAGUUUUUUGCAAAGUGGCAUUGCACAUCUGAAAGAUGGAGAUGGAAGUUUCCGAGGAUUACUGCUGAUGUUUUCAACAGGGAGGAGUCUAGAAUUUGUAUGACCCAUGCAAUCAGGCAGUAUGAUGGGGACAAGAUGAAGUGGCCACUCACCAAGAAAAAUAUUGCAAUCUUUCGGAAGUUGGUUGCAUUUGAGGUCUUCCGUUUAUGUGAUGACCAUGGGAAGUUCAUUGCGGAGAGUGUUCUGCGCGUCGCAUUUGAUGAACCUGAGGGGUGA